UGAAUCACAGAAACCUUGUGGAAAGAAAUUUAAUGCUAUCAGUAUCGAGAUGUAGGAGUAUGGCACUUUUGGCGUCUCUCAGUGUGUAUUGAUUGUCCUGUAUGUUCUGUAAGAAACAGCAAAAGAACUGAGCUGCACUCCUCUCUCUAGAAGUCGCCUCCUAUUUACAGGUAAAAGAAUGUAGAUGGCUUGAACGGACUUAACAUUGCUGCUCAUCUUUCCAUGCUCUGCAGUGUAUUGAUCAAGUCGUUCAAAGUGAUGUGGG